UGGCAACAGAGAGCACUGAGCCAAGUACAGGGUCCUUCUAGGCAGGCGUCCUUCUUAGCACAGGGGUCCUGUGUGACCACACAGGUCAUGCAUUUGGAAGGUGGAUCUAUCUGGGGCUUUGGGGUAGAGAAAUGAACAAAUCUGAACAAAAACAUCUGCCAGUGAGGACUUCCCACCUUAAUGGAAGAAGACAGUCGAUGCCACAUGUUUGAACACUCACAAGGAAACACAGAGAGCCAGAAGACAGUGAAAUGAACGGGCUGUCAUGUCCCCCAGCUACCACGGAUUGGCUCAGUGAAGAGAGGCUGUGGUCACCUCUGCAUGGUUUCCUGGUACAAACACAAAUUUCCUUUCCUCUGGCUGCAUUCCUAAAAUUAAUUAAAUCUUGGCUCAAGAAGGCUUCUUCAUGCCAGCAAGGUAGGCACCCAAGUAGGCCAUGAUUGGUCCCUUCUGACCAUUUAUCGAAGGGCAGCCUUCCAAAACUCAAGGCCAGAUAAGUGAUGCAGCAAGAGAGCCACACCCUACAACUUACCACCAGACCUCAAUUUUUCCACAUGAGAAAUGGAAUUUUUGCAACCAAAAGCACCCAGGAAUUAGUGUCUAACAGAAAGCACUCAGUCCCAGCAUCCCUGCCUACCCAUUCCCAACCCCAAAGACUGGAUCGCUGUGUGCAUUUCUUUUCUUUUUCUUUUUCCUUUUUUUUUUUUCUUUGAGAUGGAGUCUCGCUCUGUCACCCAAGCUGGAGUGCAAUGGCGCAAUCUUGGCUCUCACUGCAACCUCUGCCUCCCGGGUUCAAGUGAUUCUCCUGCCUCAGCCUCCUGAGUAGCUGGGAUUACAGGUGCCCACCACCACACUCGCCUUGCACAUUUCUUUUGUAGGAUAUAUGGCCACUGCUGAAAGGCAGUUUGUGCAAUUAUUUGUUAAGGAUCAAAUGGUGAAGAUGUAGGCCCCUAGCGUGCUCCUGCCUGAGUUGGUAUCCCAGCUGCGUCACUUAAUCAGUCUGUGCCUCAGUGUCCUCUCCUGCCAAAUGAGCAUAAUAGUAGCACCAGCCUUCUAGGGCUGUUGUGAAGAUUAAAUGGAUUCACAUAGAUGAAGCCCAGGGAUCUGAUGGAUACAUUGUAAGAUACAUUAGAAGGAAACAGUAGCUGUUAGCUUUUUAAAAUGGUUACUGUCUCCCGUUUGGAGAUGGGGCUAUUGAAAGGGAAAGACAGAGAAAUCAAAUAGGCAGCCCGUGAUGAAAUCUGCAUAGGAAUUCAGGUCUCUGUGGCUGGCAUUUAACCUUCUCAAAUUCUGGGUGGAUCUUGGAGGUGUGCAUGUUCCCGUGUUCGUUUCUCAUUGUACUCUUUUAUGCUCAGGGCCUCUCCAUUUUCAAACUACAGGAUCUGAUCUCAGGGCUCUGGAUUACCCAGAGGAAGGACAGGCUGAAUGGGCACCUCCUUCUCCACGGGAAGAAGCCAUGGAUGCCUCAUCCUCUGGCCCAGCCUAGGCUGGGAACCCUCCAGACCUACCCCAUUUAGAGCCCCCAGGGGCCCCAGGCUCCUCCCUGCUCACAUCUUCCUGCUAAGUCUUGGUCAAACUUAUCUCCUCUGCCCUGUAUUUUAAUUUUUCAAAGUCCAGGUUUUUUCUCUGUCUUUCUCUCAUUAUUUAAGGCUCGGUCUGACCUUUCCCCCUCCACUGUCUUCCUUUCAUUCAGCUUCCUAUCCAAAUACAAGCUUUCCACACACCCACAGACUCUGUGUUCUCAAGUCUGGACUCCCACACUUGUUCAGCUCAUAACCAGCACGAGUACACAUCCCAUAUAGGUAUCUACUCUGCACCAAUAGGCAUACUGCAUGCACCGUGUGCACAUCUCCAUGAUCACCCAUGCUGGCAAUGUGUGCUAAACCCGUGCAUGCCUGCCGAGCACACCCACAGAGUGAACACACAUGGGCACACACAUGCACAUACAUAAGAAUGUCACUAUAGUAGCUAACAUUAAUUGAAUGUUUACUACAUGCUAGGGACUUUUCUAUGAAAUACCUUCUCUAGUCCUCACCACAACUCAUGAAAGAGGUAGGAUAAUCAUCUCCAUUUUACAGAUGAGGAAACUGAGGCUCAGAAAGGUUAAGUAACUUGCCCAAGAUCACACAGCUAGAAAGUGACAGAGAUGAGAAGACUGAAUGCAGAGAAGCUCAAGGUCAAAAGCAAGGUCAGCCUGUACUGAGUAUGAGCACACACACAUCCCAUGUUCUAUUUCUUGUGCUCAGUCUGCAAAGCUGGAACAUGUUCCUAAUUCCCACGCACUCUGGCUGAGUGCUCACAUGGAAUGCACGUGUGCCCAUGAGCUCACGUUUACAUCUGAGUGUAGGUGCCCUGGCACAUACCACCCCCCCACACACACACAGUGGCCUCUGUAACAUGCCCACACACUCAGCUUGCAGAUAGACACCCUAUCACGCUGCUCUGCACUGUGAAAAGCUACCCUGCCCACAGGCAACCGCUAUAACGUACAGACAAGAUGCCUCCUUCCUGUUCACUCAGCAAGCACACACAAUCGAUGGGAUAGAAUGCUGGCAUGUGUCCUCCCCCAACAAAGCUUAGGGUGGUGCAAAGAGGCAGGGGCUGGUGAUCGGGGCAUCCAAUUGGUAGCCCCACAUCUGCCUCGGGUUUCUCAGGGCCCCCAGUCUUCCCAUGUGUAAAAUAAAAGGCGUCAGCCACCGCUUCACAUUUUUUAGGUAAAUUCAUUUAAAGGUGAAAUUCACAACAUAGUUCUUACUGGAAAACCAGUAUCACUUGUCAAAAAAGUAACUACAAAAAAAGCAGCAAGUCAAAAAAGUGACAAGACAAUGCAUAGAAUGGGAGAAAUUAUUUGCAAAUCAUGCAUCUGAUGAGGGAAUUGUAUCAGAAGAUAUAGAGAUCUCUUACAACUAACUCAAUAAUACAAAGGACAAAGACCCCAAUUUAAAAAACGGGCAGGCCGGGCGCGAUGGCUCAAGCCUGUAAUCCCAGCACUUUGGGAGGCCGAGGCAGACAGAUCAUGAGGUCAGGAGAUCGAGACCAAGCUGGCUAACACGGUGAAACCCCAUCUCUACUAAAAAUACAAAAAAAAUUAGCCAGGCGUGGUGGCGGGCAACUGUAGUCCCAGUUACUUGGGAAGCUGAGGCAGGAGAAUGGCGUGAACCUGGGAGGUGGAGCUUGCAGUGAGCCGAGAUCGCACCACUGCACUCCAGCCUGGCAACAGAGUGAGACUCCGUCUCAAAAAAAAAAAAAAAAAAAAAAAAAAAGGCAAAGGACCUGAAUAGAUAUCUUUCCGAAGAGAUUAUACAAAUGGCCAAUAAUCACAUGAAAAGAUGCUCGGCCAUUAGGAAAAUGCGAACCAAAACCACAAGGGAAGAACAUUUCAUAUCCAUUAAGAGGGCUGUGAUCAAAAAGACAAAUAAAAAGUUUAGGGAGAAUGUGGAAAAGUUGGAGACCUCCUCUACCACUGGUGAGAAUGGAAAAUGGUACAGCCACUAUGGAAAACUGUCAGUUUCUCAAAUGGUGAUGACCCAGCAAUUCCUCUCCUAGCAUAUACCCCAAGAUAAAUAAAAACAUACAUUCACACACCCAAAUUAAUUGUAUACAAAUGGUCAUAGCAGCAUUAUUCAUAAUAGCAAAAAAAAAGUAGAAAGCCAAAUGUCAUUAGCUGAAUAAACAGAACGUGGUUUAUUCACGCAAUGGGAUAUGAUUUCACCAUAAAAUGGACUGAGGCAUGGACACAUGCCCCAACAUGGAUUAACCUUGAAAAAAUGAUGCUAAGUGAAAGAAGCCUUGUAUUAUUCCAUUCAUGUGAAAUGUCCAGAAUGGGAAACCUACAGACACAGAAGGAAAGUAGAUAGUAGAUUAGUGCUUGCCCAGGGUUGGAGGAGAUGGGGGCAGUGGGGGUGAUGGCAGAGAGGCAUCGGAUUUCUUUUAAGGAUGGUGAAAAUAUUCUAAAAUCAAUUGUGGUGAUAGAUGUACAGCUCUGUGAAUAUACUAAAAACCACUGGAUUAUACACCUUAUGCGGGUGAGUUG
rnacentral:lncRNA from 1 species